rnacentral:rRNA from 1 species
UACGUAGGGUCCGAGCGUUGUCCGGAAUUAUUGGGGCGUAAAGGGCUCGUAGGCGGUCUGUUGCGUCGGGAGUGAAAACUUACAGCUUAACUGUGAGCGUGCUUCCGAUACGGGGCAGACUUGAGGUAUUCAGGGGAGAACGGAAUUCCGGUGUAGCGGUGAAAUGCGCAGAUAUCAGGAGGAACACCGGUGGCGAAGGCGGGUCUCUGGGCCGAUACUGACGCUGAGGAGCGAAAGCGUGGGGAGCGAACAGG